GACGAACCGUGCGAACGUUUAUUCGGAAUCACUGGGCUUAAAGCGCGUGUAGGCGGGGCGGCACGUCGGUCGCUGAAAUCCCCCGGCUUAACCGGGGAACGGGCGCCGAUACGACCGCCCUGGAGGGACGUAGGGGGACCUGGAACUUCCGGUGGAGCGGUGAAAUGCGUUGAGAUCGGAAGGAACGCCCGUGGCGAAAGCGAGGUCCUGGACGUUUUCUGACGCUGAGACGCGAAAGCCAGGGGAGCGAACG
rnacentral:rRNA from 1 species